GAUGAACGCUGGCGGCGUGCCUAAUACAUGCAAGUCGAGCGAACGGACGAUAAGCUUGCUUCUCUGAUGUUAGCGGCGGACGGGAGAGUAAAACGUGGAUAACCUACCUAUAAGACUGGGAUAACUUCGGGAAACCGGAGCUAAUAACGGAUGAUAUUUUGAACCGCAUGGGUCAAAAGUGAAAGACGGUCGUGCUGUCACUUAUAGAUGGAUCCGCGGUGCAUUAGCUAGUUGGUAAGGUAACGGCUUACCAAGGCAACGAUGCGUAGCCGAACUGAGAGGGUGAUCGGCCAACCUGGAACUGAGACCCGGGCCAGACUCCUACGGGAGGGAGCAGUAGGGAAUCGUAGGCAAUGGGGGGAAGCCUGACGGAGCAAAGGCGAGUGAGUGAUGAAAGUCUUCGGAUCGUGAAAAUGUGUUAUUGGGGAAGAACCUAUUUGUAAGUAAAUGUGGACAUCUUGACGGUACCUAAUCAGAAAGCCACGGCUAACUACGUG
rnacentral:rRNA from 1 species